CUCUGAGGCGCCAUUUCUGCAGCGCUGCAAGAGAGGAGAAAAGGUAUUGGUGGAAACGCAUACAUGAGAGGUUCCAUGGGAGCAUGAAGGCAUCUCCUCGAGAGUGUUUCCCUAGGCUUGCUCUGGAGCAGAAUGUCGGACGUUUUUUGUUUAUUGCCAUGGCAAAUAGAUCCAGUUGGGGAUAACCCCAGGUCUGAAAAAUGCUGGAUAGAAUGGUGUCGAGUUCCCACUCGUGCUGUAUGGGGAAGGAUUGACUAAGCUCAUCUACGGUGGUGUUCUGAGAAGCGGGGUGGUAUGAGGUGAAGAUAUGGAUAUUGUAUUGAAAGCACCAGUUCCAUAGUUUUACCGCCUCUGUACAGAGGGAGUGGGACCGGGCUUAGGCUCCCCCAUGUCUGUUCACAUAAAACAUACAUGCGAUAUUGUCUGUCAUGAUCCAAAUUCUGCGGUUUUGGAUAAUGGGAAGGAAAUAGAGGCGGGCAUCGCAUACGGCUCUGAGCUCUAGUAGAUUUAUGUGAAGCUUAGUUUCUGUAGAGGACCAGAGGCCCUGAGUGGUGAGGUGGUCCAUUUGCACACCCCAUCCUGUGAGGGAUGCAUCUGUAGUGAUGGUAAUUGAAGGGGAUUCUUGUCAGAAGGGACCCCGGCACAGAGGUUGAUAGGAGAGUUCCACCAUAGGAGCAAGUCCUUGACUUUCGGGGGCACAGAUAGCAAUUUGUUUAAUCUGUGGAUAUUUGCUUUGUAUCCUGGGGCUAGCCACCUGUGAAGGCAUCGCAUGUACAGAUGGACUUUUGGGACCACAAAUGUGGAAACGGCCAUGUGUCCUAACAGCUGCAGAGAAUCUCAGACUAUAACCUAUGAGCUGACAUGUAUCUGGGUAAUGAGGGUGCCCAUUGUGUGGAAUCUGUCCUGGGGAAGAGAAGCAAGACCCGUGGUGGAAUCCAGAUGGGCCCCAAUGAAGUGGAUUUUUUGGGUAGGUCAUAAGGUAGAUUUGUUUCUGUUUAUUUGCAGACCCAAAUGGCGUGGAAGCAGUGCACGGUGGCAGAAGUCACUCGGAUCACCUCCAACUGAGUGGGGCACUUGAGGAGACAAUUGUCUAGAUAAGGAAAAAUGAGGACUCCUUUCUUUCUGAGAUGUGCUAUUAUGACUGCUAGUACUUUUGAGAAGACACGUGGGGCAGUGGAAACGCCAAAGGGCAGGACCCUGUAUUGAUAAUGUUCCACUCCCAUGGCAAAUCUGAGAAAACGUUGAUGGGCAGGAUAGUGACAUGGAAAUAUGCGUCCUGGAGGUCGAGGGUUGAAAACCAAUCUCCCUGCUCCAGCGCCAGAAUUAUUGUUAGCAGAGUAACCAUCUGGAAUGUCUGUUUCUUGACUAACUUGUUUAGAUGUCAAAGAUAGAGGAUAGGGUGCCAUCCACCAUUUUUCUUUUCUGCCAAGUAGUGUGGGAGUAAAAGCCUUUCCCUCCAUGUUGAGCUGGUACCCGCUGUCUCACUCCUAAUUGUAUGAGGUGCUGUACCUCCUGAUGGAGCAAAUGUUCAUGGGAGGGUUCCCUGAAGAGAGAGAAGGUGGGAGGGUGGGUGCGGGGUAAGGAGAGGACAGGGAUGGCAUAACACGAUCUGAUAAUUUCCAGGACCCAUCUGUGCAUAGUGAUGGCUUCUCAAUUGGUAAGAAACAGGCGUAGAUGGUGUCCAAAGAAAUGGAUGGUUGAAAUUGGUGCUGAAGAGGGUGCGAGGCUUUCUAUACCCUCAACCAAGACUUCAAAUUUGUUUAUUUGAGGUAGGAGAGUGGAUCGCCAUCGUUUAUGGAAGGUGACGUCCUUGGGUUCUGGGUUUAUGGCAUUGUUGUUACUGCAUAUCAUAUUGUCUGAAAUGUUGAUUUUGCACAAAAGCAUGGUAGCACGGCCGUUAGUAUGGCUGAUAUCUGUACUGCCUCUUUUUUGGGCAGGUGGCUGGAUGCCUAAAUAUCUGAGUGUGGCAAGUGAGUCCUUCAUGGAAUGGAGGGCCUCAUUGGUCACAGAGGUGAAGAACUUGUCCCCAUCAAAGGGGAGAUCUUUGACAGUGCUCUGUAUCUUCUUGGGAAAGGAGGAAGAAGCAAGCCAUCAGGCAUGCCGCGUGAUGAUGGCCAUGGCUGUGGAUCUGGUGGCUGCAUCUGCAGCAUUGAGGGCAGCCUGAAGAGCUGUGCAGGAGAUUAAUUGGCCCUCAGACACCACUGCUUUGAAUUGUUGUUGUCUUCUGAUACAUCAUCAAUAAAUUGCAUUACUUCAGCAUAA